rnacentral:rRNA from 1 species
AUGGGAGUGUUCAAUUUGUCGUGUUCGGUUUGCGAGGACCCCACGCGCUUAGUGAGGAACUUUUGGUGGGGUUCAAAGCACGGGCAACGGAAGACACACUGGCGAGCAUGGGAGAAAAUAAUUGAACUAAAGGGCAACGGGGGACUUGGCUUUCGUGACUUCCGCAUCUUCAACCAAGCCUUGUUCGCUCGUCAAGCCUUUCAGCUACUCACUAGACUGGAUUCCUUAUGCUCUAAGGCAUUGAAAGCAAAAAAUUAUCCUAACGGGUCCCUUGAGGAUACGGUUUUUUCAGGUAAUGCAUCCCCAACAUGGCACGCGAUCCAGCAUGGCCUCGAGCCGCUCAAGCAGAGGCUCGUGUGGCGGGUGGGCAACGGCGAGAGUAUCCGCAUAUGGCGGGAUCCCUGGAUCCCGCGACCCAUGUCCUAUAGGCCAAUCACGGUGCGUGGCACAUGCCGGCUCCGACGAGUGUCAGAACUCCUCGACAACAACGGGCGGUGGUGGGUGGAUCUUCUUCAACAAUUCUUCACCAACCCGGAUGGGGAAGACAUCUUGUCAAUAAAAAAAAAAGCAUCCGUUAUGGAGGAAAGAGCAAACCAAAAAAUAGCAUGCGUACACCACAUUGCACAGACACGUGUCUUUUUUUUUUGA